CUCCACCAUAGUUUCUGGGAGGCCCUCCACCAUAGUUAGGCGGUGGCCCUCCCAUGCCAGGCUGGUGCAUCCCGCCCAUGUUGGGCUGCUGUUGCUGGUGCAUACCUCCCAUGUUAGGUUGCUGCUGCUGCAUUCCGCCCAUGUUAGGGGGUGGAGCAUUUCUCAUAUUGGGAGGUCCACCACCCAUACUGGAUCCAGGGUUCUGCAUCUCUCUUCUUCUCUCAAAAUUUCUGGAUCUAUCAAAGUUACGAGGUCGGUCAUUACGUCUGUUUCUCUCAUUAGCUCGGGCAUUGUUC
rnacentral:lncRNA from 1 species